rnacentral:rRNA from 1 species
AGAGUUUGAUCAUGGCUCAGAUUGAACGCUGGCGGAUGCUUUACACAUGCAAGUCGAACGGUAACGCGGGGGCAACCCUGGCGACGAGUGGCGAACGGGUGAGUAAUACAUCGGAACGUGCCCAGUCGUGGGGGAUAACGCAGCGAAAGCUGUGCUAAUACCGCAUACGAUCUACGGAUGAAAGCGGGGGAUCGCAAGACCUCGCGCGAUUGGAGCGGCCGAUGGCAGAUUAGGUAGUUGGUGAGGUAAAGGCUCACCAAGCCGACGAUCUGUAGCUGGUCUGAGAGGACGACCAGCCACACUGGGACUGAGACACGGCCCAGACUCCUACGGGAGGCAGCAGUGGGGAAUUUUGGACAAUGGGCGAAAGCCUGAUCCAGCCAUUCCGCGUGCAGGAUGAAGGCCCUCGGGUUGUAAACUGCUUUUGUACGGAACGAAAAGGCGCUUUCUAAUACAGGGCGCUCAUGACGGUACCGUAAGAAUAAGCACCGGCUAACUACGUGCCAGCAGCCGCGGUAAUACGUAGGGGCAAGCGUUAAUCGGAAUUACUGGGCGUAAAGCGUGCGCAGGCGGUGAUGUAAGACAGUUGUGAAAUCCCCGGGCUCAACCUGGGAACUGCAUCUGUGACUGCAUCGCUGGAGUGCGGCAGAGGGGGAUGGAAUUCCGCGUAGCAGUGAAAUGCGUAGAUAUGCGGAGGAACACCGAUGGCGAAGGCAAUCCCCUGGGCCUGCACUGACGCUCAUGCACGAAAGCGUGGGGAGCAAACAGGAUUAGAUACCCUAGUAGUCC